rnacentral:lncRNA from 1 species
GGGGCUCUCGGGGCUGCAGAUUCACUCCCGCGGCACCUGCCACCCUGCCUGCCUGACGAUGAGGGUUUCGUAACCCGAAUGGUAGCUACUGAGUAGGCCGCACACCCAGCACGGAGCCCAAGGUGGGGCCUGAACUCACGACCUGGGCCGAGAUCAAGAGUGGGACGCUCACCCGACGGAGCCACCGUGGCGCCCCUUACACUGAGGCCCUUAAAGAUGGUAAGCUUUCCUCCGAGUGCAUUUUUGGCCGCCUUCUAGAAGCUUCCCCGGGCAGGGUCUUCUGCAUGCAGCAGUCUGCAGCAGUCAUGCGCCGUCACCUCCUCUGGGACUCCAGGGUCAGCUGCGGAGCGUCAGUUCCAUUUCCCGAUGCCCCACCAGCCAGGAGGGGCUUCCACCGCCCCUAUGGGUGGGCUGGGGCCUGGUCCCUGCGGUCUGCACCCCAGGAGCCCAAGCUGCCGGCCAGGCCACCACGUCACAAUGCUACACUGUGUGCGGACUCGAAGCAUCCCCCAGGGCGGCACAUGUCACUCACUCUCGAGGCCAGAUCCAGGGCCAGGGGUGCAGGCCCAGCAUGCGCUGCGCGGGGGGAAGAGGUCAAGACAGGGUCUCCCCACCACGGCGCCCUUGACAUCGGGCACCCUGACGCCCCCGGCAGAGCCAGCACGGCCAGAGUAUGCACACAGGCUUCCUGCCGAGAAUCGCUCACCGGGUCCCAGAGCCUCCCCUGGAGGCGGCCGUGGGCACACUGUCCUCUGGGUCCCUCGGGGCUCCCCUCCUGGGGCUGCCCAUCGCCCACGAUCCUCAGUGCCAACCUCUCCCUCAGGCCCUCCAGUCCACUCUUGAGCGGACACCUUACUUUUGCAUCCCUGUUAGGGUCCAGGCUGAGGGAAGCGUGGGGGACGGCAAGGGGCUGGGCUGCGCCCCGUGCGGGGCUGGCCGUGGCUCUUGGUCCUGAGCGCAGGCGGGCCCUGAGGCUCAGAGCUCACUGACUCGGCUGACCCGGCGGGGAGGGACAGCGGUGGCCGGUGUCGGCCCUCUGCGCGCUGGCCGGGAGGUAACAAGGAGACCCCAGCAGGCCUCAUGGGUGAGGGAGGAGGCCGGGGCCCUCCGGUUAGGGGCGGUGAGGAAAGGCCCCCGGCAGGACCCCAGAGAUGGGGGUAGCCACGGCACAGGACCUUCCGGAACGUUGGGAGCAGGGCAUCUGAGGGGCAGGCCCAGCCAGGGUCCUGUUGGGUCCGCUGUGGCCUCUGUAGGACCUCGGGACUCCCCCCCCCAAGGAGGAGGUCAGGGUGGGGCUGGGGGCUGCUCUGGGUCACCCCCACCGCCACCCAGCCUGACCUGCACCUGGGUGCUGGGUGUGGGCCAGUGGGAGUGGGAGUGGGAGCGGGGAGCAGGUCAGAGCCAGGGCACAGCCGCCUCCCCCCCCACCCCUGCCCCCUCCAGGGCGGGAGCUCCGAGGAGAGAGGUGUGGGUGUGGGCACCCCCAGCUGCUGCCCCGGCCGGGAAACCCCAGCAACAAAACAUAACCCAGCCAAGCACGUGACCCCAGGAAUGCAAAGCCGGGCGGCAGGAGGAAAGGUAAUCACACCACUGGGCCCCCAGCAGGA